UACGUAGGGGGCAAGCGUUAUCCGGAUUUACUGGGUGUAAAGGGAGCGUAGACGGCGAUGCAAGUCUGAAGUGAAAGGCGGGGGCCCAACCCCCGGACUGCUUUGGAAACUGUAUGGCUGGAGUACAGUAGAGGUAGGCGGAAUUCGUGGUGUAGCGGUGAAAUGCUUAGAUAUCACGAAGAACUCCGAUUGCGAAGGCAGCCUGCUGGACUGUAACUGACGCUGAUGCUCGAAAGUGUGGGUAUCAAACAGG
rnacentral:rRNA from 1 species